CCUACGGGAGGCUGCAGUGAGGAAUAUUGGUCAAUGGGCGGAAGCCUGAACCAGCCAAGUAGCGUGCGGGAUGAAGGCCCUACGGGUCGUAAACCGCUUUUGCACGGGGAUAACACCCUCCACUUGUGGAGGUCUGCAGGUACCGUGCGAAUAAGGGCCGGCUAAUUCCGUGCCAGCAGCCGCGGUAAUACGGAAGGCCCGAGCGUUAUCCGGAUUCAUUGGGCUUAAAGGGAGCGUAGGCGGGCGUUCAAGUCAGCUGUAAAAUCGCGCGGCUCAACCGCGCCCCGCAGUUGAAACUGGACGCAUUGAGUUCACAACAGGCAGCCGGAAUUCGUGGUGUAGCGGUGAAAUGCAUAGAUAUCACGAGGAACCCCGAUUGCGAAGGCAGCCUGCCGGGGUGCGACUGACGCUGAGGCUCGAAGGUGCGGGUAUCAAACAGGAUUAGAUACCCCGGUAGUC
rnacentral:rRNA from 1 species